GAUGAACGCUGGCGGCGUGCCUAAUACAUGCAAGUCGAGCGAACGGACGAGAAGCUUGCUUCUCUGAUGUUAGCGGCGGACGGGUGAGUAACACGUGGAUAACCUACCUAUAAGACUGGGAUAACUUCGGGAAACCGUAGCUAAUACCGGAUAAUAUUUUGAACCGCAUGGUUCAAAAGUGAAAGACGGUCUUGCUGUCACUUAUAGAUGGAUCCGCGCUGCAUUAGCUAGUUGGUAAGGUAACGGCUUACCAAGGCAACGAUGCAUAGCCGACCUGAGAGGGUGAUCGGCCACACUGGAACUGAGACACGGUCCAGACUCCUACGGGAGGCAGCAGUAGGGAAUCUUCCGCAAUGGGCGAAAGCCUGACGGAGCAACGCCGCGUGAGUGAUGAAGGUCUUCGGAUCGUAAAGCUCUGUUAUUAGGGAAGAACAUAUGUGUAAGUAACUGUGCACAUCUUGACGUUACCUAAUCAGAAAGCCACGGCUAACUACGUG
rnacentral:rRNA from 1 species